rnacentral:rRNA from 1 species
CACGUAGGGGGCGAGCGUUGUCCGGAAUUACUGGGCGUAAAGGGCGCGCAGGCUGUUAUGCGAGUCUGCUGUGAAAUGUACCGGCUCAACCGGUGCCUUGCGGCGGAUACUGCAUAGCUGGAGUACUGGAGAGGGAAGUGGAAUUCCCGGUGUAGCGGUGAAAUGCGUAGAGAUCGGGAGGAACACCAGUGGCGAAGGCGGGUAACUGGACUGCAACUGACGCUGAGGCGCGAAAGGUGUGGGGGAGCAAAACAGGGAUUUAGGAUACCCCCCGGUA